rnacentral:ncRNA from 2 species
GGGGAACCCGGUGCGAUUCCGGGGCUGUCGCGCAGCGGUGUGGGAGACGAGCGGAUCGCAGGUCCACUGAGCCAAGCGGCUCGGGAAGGAGAUCCGGGAGGUCGAUCCCGAGCCCGAAGACCC